UGAAAACUGGGUGUGGCGGCACACGUCUUUAAUUCCAGCACUCAGGAGGCAGAGGCAGGUGGAUCUCUGGGCGGUUCAGGCCAGCCUGGUUUACAGAGUGAUGUCUAGAACAGCCAGUGUUCCAGAAAGAGAUUCUAUCACCAAACAAAAGAAAAAAAAUAGAAAGAAAAAAGAAAGAAAGAAGAGAAAGAAGGUUUGAGAGAAGAGAAAGAAACUCAAAAUCCAUUAGCCUGAAGAACCUGGCCUUUCUCCUGGGAUAAGAACUGAGUACAGGAAAGUCGCUGCAUUGUGAUAGCCUCCAUCAGAGAAACUAAUCUCCAGGACUGAGAACCGAGGGCCCUGACCAGAUUGGAGGGCUUUUCUAAAAAAAUCACACGAGUGUCAAGCUGUGUUUUGGUCGAGUUAAAAAAAUAAAUAAUCUGGAGUUGCAGAAAUCUAUUUACACUGGCUUUCUUCCAAGAAGACGAGAACAAUGGAAUUACGUAUUCACUAGCAGAAGUGACACCAGUGUUAAGCCAGAUACGAAGAGGCUCAACUUCUGCACUUCUCCCCCACUUGAGGUUAGUCACAUUCACACAGUUUGAUUUGGCAACGGAAACGUGAGAGGAAAUGGUGAUUCACAGCUCAUUUCCUCAGCUUUGAUCACCACGGAAACCGUGUCGAGAUGGAAUCUAUACCAGCCAACUCUGCCAAUGGUCUCCAGCCCCUUGCCCGGUUCAUGAACUGUAUGGUGGCGCAUAGAGUGCAGAAGCGCGUGGUGUCAGGUCUGCACCUGUUUCCACCAGUUAUUGUAUGAAGGCUCUCUGGUGACAAUUGGGGUGGUCACCAAGUAUAGCAGAAUAUCAUUCGGCAUCAUUACAUAAACACUUUGUGCUCUCCAA